AACCGCAUAGGGGAGCCGGAGGGAAACCGAGUCUUAAUUGGGCGUUAAGUUGCAGGGUAUAGACCCGAAACCCGGUGAUCUAGCCAUGGGCAGGUUGAAGGUUGGGUAACACUAACUGGAGGACCGAACCGACUAAUGUUGAAAAAUUAGCGGAUGACCUGUGGCUGGGGGUGAAAGGCCAAUCAAACCGGGAGAUAGCUGGUUCUCCCCGAAAGCUAUUUAGGUAGCGCCUCGUGAAUUCAUCUCCGGGGGUAGAGCACUGUUUCGGCUAGGGGGCCAUCCCGGCUUACCAACCCGAUGCAAACUGCGAAUACCGGAGAAUGUUAUCACGGGAGACACACGGCGGGUGCUAACGUCCGUCGUGAAGAGGGAAACAACCCAGACCGCCAGCUAAGGUCCCAAAGUCAUGGUUAAGUGGGAAACGAUGUGGGAAGGCCCAGACAGCCAGGAUGUUGGCUUAGAAGCAGCCAUCAUUUAAAGAAAGCGUAAUAGCUCACUGGUCGAGUCGGCCUGCGCGGAAGAUGUAACGGGGCUAAACCAUGCACCGAAGCUGCGGCAGCGACACUCAGGUGUUGUUGGGUAGGGGAGCGUUCUGUAAGCCUG
rnacentral:rRNA from 1 species